UACGUAGGGUGCAAGCGUUGCCCGGAUUUAUUGGGCGUAAAGGGCGCGUAGGCGGCUCGGCACGUCCGUUGUGAAAUCGCCCGGCUCAACUGGGCGGGGUCAGCGGAUACGGUCGAGCUUGAGCAAGCUAGGGGGCAACGGAAUUCCCGGUGUAGUGGUGGAAUGCGUAGAUAUCGGGAGGAACACCUAUGGCGAAGGCAGCUCGCUGGGACGUUACUGACGCUGAGACGCGAAAGCGUGGGGAGCAAACAGG
rnacentral:rRNA from 1 species